GACGAACGCUGGCGGCGUGCUUAACACAUGCAAGUCGAACGGAAAGGCCCUGCUUUUGUGGGGUGCUCGAGUGGCGAACGGGUGAGUAACACGUGAGUAACCUGCCCUUGACUUUGGGAUAACUUCAGGAAACUGGGGCUAAUACCGGAUAGGAGCUCCUGCUGCAUGGUGGGGGUUGGAAAGUUUCGGCGGUUGGGGAUGGACUCGCGGCUUAUUAGCUUGUUGGUGGGGUAGUGGCAUACCAAGGCUUUGACGGGUAGCCGGCCUGCGCGGGUGACGGGCCACAUUGGCACUGAGAUACGGCCCAGACUCCUACGGGAGGCAGCAGUGGGGAAUAGUACAAAAUGGGCGGAAGCCUGAUGCAGCAACGCCGCGUGCGGGAUGACGGCCUUCGGGUUGGAAACCGCUUGCGCCUGUGACGAAGAGUGAGUGACGGUAAUGGGUAAAGAAGCACCGGCUAACUACGUG
rnacentral:rRNA from 1 species